UACGUAGGCAGCGAGCGUUGUUCGGAGUUACUGGGCGUAAAGGGUGCGCAGGCGGUGGAGCAAGUCUGAUGUGAAAUCUCCCGGCUUAACCGGGAGGGUGCGUUAGAAACUGUUCUGCUGGAGUGAGGGAGAGGCAAGCGGAAUUCCUGGUGUAGCGGUGAAAUGCGUAGAUAUCAGGAGGAACACCCGGUGGUGCAGACGGCUUGCUGGACCUCCACUGACGCUGAGGCACGAAGGCCAGGGGAGCAAACGGG
rnacentral:rRNA from 1 species